CACGAAUCAGACCAGGGGUUCAAAAGUUAAAGGAAAGUCCUUUGUGACUAAAUGAAGCAUGGCUUUCUGGCCCAAACCAGUUUCAGAGUCUUCUAUCCUGGAGAGUAAUUCAAUAAUCUCCCAGGACAGACACAAGACUCCAUUAAGCACAUGGUUGCAAAAAGACACAAAACACUUUAAAAUACAUAAAGUCACCUUUUACACAUAAGACACAGACAUUUCACAUAUCCCCAGAUAGCUGGGAUCUGAGCGCACAAAACUACCGAAUAGCGCUCAGAUACUAUUCACACAGUUCAAC